CAGGCCCAUCGUUUAGCGGCUUCACGCCGCACAGCGCACCGCCGCCGAGCCCCCGACGCCGAUGACGCUGCUGCACGCGCGCGGCAAGACCACCGCGGCGCAGCACGUGGCGGCGCGGCACCUCGACCACACGUUCGAGAAGCUCGUGGCCUCCACCCUCCCGCUCGUGGCGGCGUCGCCGCUGCUCGAUGCGCUCCGGGCAUCGCCCGAGCCGCUCGCGCUCCCGGACCUCGCCCGCCGCCUCCCUCUCCGCCUCCACCGCCGCGGCCCGCUCCACUUCCUCCGCCUCUUCCCGCGCGUUUUCGACCUCCGCCCCCCUCUCCCGCUCUCCCUAUCGCUGACCGCGCCUGCCGCCUCACUCCUUGCCGUCGCAUCCUCUCCCGACGCCGCCGCGCGGACGCUCCACCGCCUCCUCGCCAUGUCCACAUCCCGCUCCGUUCCUCUCCGUGCCGUGUUCCGCGUCUGGCGCGAGCUCGCUCUACCCGACGACUUCGAGGACUCCGUCGUCGCGCAGCAUCCCCACCUCUUCCGCCUCGCCCCCAACCCCGCCGAGCCUAGAACCCACGUUCUACACCUCGUCGCAGAUCCGGCGAAGGAGGAGUUCACUCCGGCGGUGGAUAAGAAGCGGCCGGAGAAGUACGCUUUCCGGCUGCAGUUCCCGCCGGGGUUCAGGCUGGCCAAGGAGUAUCGGAAGAAGGUGAAGGAGUGGCAGCUGCUGCCAUAUGUUGGGCCGUACGAGGUAGUGGAUCAGAAGGUUGGCGCGAGCAAGAGAGUAUCGAAGAUGGCGAGGAGGAAGAUGGAGAAGAGGGCAGCCGGAAUAGCACACGAGUUUCUGAGCUUGACCGUGGAGAAGAUGGUAGAGGUGGAGAAGUUCAGCCAGUUCCGGAAGUGGUUUGGGAUCGACGUGAAUGUCAGGGACGUAUUCUUGGAUCACCCUGGGAUAUUUUACCUCUCGGCGAAGGGAAAGCGGCAUACAGUGUUCCUGCGGGAAGCAUAUGAUCGUGGCAAGCUUGUUGAGCCUAAUGAUGUUUCAGAGGCGCGAAGAAAGCUUGUUGAGCUCAUGCUCUUGCGUCGCCAUGGCCUUGGGAACGCCAAUUCAAAUGCCAAUAUGUCUUCAAGUGCCAAUGCUGAUGCCAAAGAGAGCGAUGACGAUUUACAGGAACUGGAGCUCUAGUAGUGUGAUGUAUCUGUGAAGCUGCAGGACGGGACAACAAGGAGGUUGUGCAAUUCAUGGAUAUCCUGGUUUAGCGUAACCUGUUAAGCAGGUGUUAGCCCAACUUGGAUGGCAAAUAUGUUAGUGGUGCAGAUCCGUAUUGAUGAUGACGAUGGAUGUUUCUUCAGGGAUGGUAGUCAAUUGGCAUUAUAUGCUAGCCAGUAUACUCAAAACUCAGAUUACGUCUCCCUGAGCUAGGCAUGUCUGUAGGUCAAGAGUGAAGUUCAGUAGCACUUAGCUGAUCGGUUUAUGCUGUAACUCCGAGGAAAAGCUUUAGAUAUGAAGGGCCUUGACUCUUAUAUGAAUUGUCAAAUACUCCCUCCGUAAAGAGGGGGUACUACCUGGUUUCUCUGGGGAUGGUCUGAACUGAAGCCAGUUUACAGAAACCAAUGAGUUCGUCAGUGUUACUGAUACUGACAGUUCUGAGCUGAAGGAGCUCAACAGGGGUGCAAAUCAUGGUAUUCCUGAUGCUUUGGAGAGGGCUACGGACAAAAUGCAGCUAUUCUUGAAGAGACAAAAGUUGUAGUUUUGCACAAUUAGCUGUGUUAUUCAGUUGUCAGUCUACCAGUUCAUUAUCUCAACUUAUAAAUUUGGACUCUGGCCAGGCUAUUACUGCUGAGCUUUAAUGUCGGGGUGUGAGAUCAGGUUAUCCUGGUAAUAUCUGCAUUUAAGCUGACAGGAAGAAUUCAACCAGCCUCUAACACUAUUCUCAAGUUUGUAACAACAUAUCUUUUGUUGGCUCAAGGCUAAUUUGACAUGGAGGGUGGCGAUUCUGUGCAAAAACCUAGAAGUCUGUCCAACUGAAACUACAUACAGGGGCAACACGGCUGCAGGGUUAGAAGGGAGUAAGGAUGUUCAGAAGUGAAACUCUAGACUGCAGCAGUCUUCUGAAAACCUUCUCACUUCCGGUCUCCAGCCCACCAAUGGAUUCCUCUAGCUUCUCUAGCCUCUCCAACGCCACCAUCGCUGUCUCUGGUGCUGCCUUCUUGGCGGACGGCCUGACACUCAGCCUGGCCAGCCACUUGUUUGAAGGCACUUGCAUGUCCGGUGACAUUGCUGCACACUCCAUGAAGAUGGUCU